rnacentral:rRNA from 1 species
CGCCUGAGAACUACGAGCUAAGCUUAAAACUCAAAGGACUUGACGGUACCCCAUAUCCCCCUAGAGGAGCCUGUCCUAUAAUUGAUAAUCCCCGUUUAACCUUACCAUUUUUAGCUACUCAGCCUGUAUACCUCCGUCGUCAGCUUACCACGUGAGCGAAACUUAGUGAGCUUAAUGCAUAUACACCAAUACGUCAGGUCAAGGUGCAGCAAAUGAAAUGGAAAGAGAUGGGCUACACUCUCUAAUCUAGAGAACACGAAAAACUAUUUAUGAAAUCUAGUUGAAAGGCGGAUUUAGCAGUAAAAAGAAAUC